rnacentral:rRNA from 1 species
UACGAGGGGUGCAAGCGUUAAUCGGAAUUACUGGGCGUAAAGCGUGCGUAGACGGUUAUUUAAGUCGGGUGUGAAAGCCCCGGGCUCAACCUGGGAACUUGCAUUCGAGACUGAAUAGCUAGGGUACGGUAGAGGGAAGUGGAAUUUCCGGUGUAGCGGUGAAAUGCGUAGAUAUCGGAAGGAACAUCAGUGGCGAAAGCGGCUUCCUGGACCAGCACCGACGUUCAGGCACGAAAGCGUGGGGAGCAAACAGG